rnacentral:rRNA from 1 species
UGCAGUCGAACGAUGAAGCCCUUCGGGGUGGAUUAGUGGCGAACGGGUGAGUAACACGUGGGCAAUCUGCCCUGCACUCUGGGACAAGCCCUGGAAACGGGGUCUAAUACCGGAUAUGACCGUCCAUCGCAUGGUGGAUGGUGUAAAGCUCCGGCGGUGCAGGAUGAGCCCGCGGCCUAUCAGCUAGUUGGUGAGGUAGUGGCUCACCAAGGCGACGACGGGUAGCCGGCCUGAGAGGGCGACCGGCCACACUGGGACUGAGACACGGCCCAGACUCCUACGGGAGGCAGCAGUGGGGAAUAUUGCACAAUGGGCGAAAGCCUGAUGCAGCGACGCCGCGUGAGGGAUGACGGCCUUCGGGUUGUAAACCUCUUUCAGCAGGGAAGAAGCGAAAGUGACGGUACCUGCAGAAGAAGCGCCGGCUAACUACGUGCCAGCAGCCGCGGUAAUACGUAGGGCGCAAGCGUUGUCCGGAAUUAUUGGGCGUAAAGAGCUCGUAGGCGGCUUGUCACGUCGGUUGUGAAAGCCCGGGGCUUAACCCCGGGUCUGCAGUCGAUACGGGCAGGCUAGAGUUCGGUAGGGGAGAUCGGAAUUCCUGGUGUAGCGGUGAAAUGCGCAGAUAUCAGGAGGAACACCGGUGGCGAAGGCGGAUCUCUGGGCCGAUACUGACGCUGAGGAGCGAAAGCGUGGGGAGCGAACAGGAUUAGAUACCCUG